UACGUAGGUGGCAAGCGUUAUCCGGAAUUAUUGGGCGUAAAGAGCGCGCAGGUGGUUGAUUAAGUCUGAUGUGAAAGCCCACGGCUUAACCGUGGAGGGUCAUUGGAAACUGGUCGACUUGAGUGCAGAAGAGGGAAGUGGAAUUCCACGUGUAGCGGUGAAAUGCGUAGAGAUAUGGAGGAACACCAGUGGCGAAGGCGGCUUCCUGGUCUGUAACUGACACUGAGGCGCGAAAGCGUGGGGAGCAAACAGGAUUAGAUACCCCU
rnacentral:rRNA from 1 species